UGUUUUAAUUCAUCUUGUUGUGGGUGGAAUUUUCUAACCUAUAUCCCGAAAUUAUAUCCUGACUUUAUAUGUCUAUUUUCGCUGCCAGGAUACUGGACUAGGAUAUUGGUAACAUCCUGCGAGGGUAUCAUGCGUGCUGUUAACAAUUUGCUU